rnacentral:rRNA from 1 species
GGAAUAUUGGACAAUGGGCGCAAGCCUGAUCCAGCCAUGCCGCGUGGGUGAAGAAGGCCUUAGGGUUGUAAACCCCUUUCAGCGGGGAAGAUAAUGACGGUACCCGCAGAAGAAGUCCCGGCUACCCCCGUGCACGCAGCCGCGGUAAUACGGAGGGGACUAGCGUUGUUCGGAAUUACUGGGCGUAAAGCGCCCGUAGGCGGAUUUGUAAGUCGGGGGUGAAAUCCCGAGGCUCAACCUCGGAACUGCCUUUGAUACUGCAAAUCUCGAGUCCGGAAGAGGUGAGUGGAAUUCCUAGUGUAGAGGUGAAAUUCGUAGAUAUUAGGAAGAACACCAGUGGCGAAGGCGGCUCACUGGUCCGGUACUGACGCUGAGGUGCGAAGGCGUGGGGAGCAAA